rnacentral:rRNA from 1 species
GUCUGGUCCUAUUGUGUUGGCCUUCGGGACCGGAGUAAUGAUUAAUAGGGACUGUCGGGGGCAUUCGUAUUUCAUUGUCAGAGGUGAAAUUCUUGGAUUUAUGAAAGACGGACCACUGCGAAAGCAUUUGCCAAGGAUGUUUUCAUUAAUCAAGAACGAAAGUUGGGGGCUCGAAGACGAUCAGAUACCGUCCUAGUCUCAACCAUAAACGAUGCCGACCAGGGAUCGGCGGAUGUUGCUCUAAGGACUCCGCCAGCACCUUCUGAGAAAUCAGAGUGUUUGGGUUCCGGGGGGAGUAUGGUCGCAAGGCUGAAACUUAAAGGAAUUGACGGAAGGGCACCACCAGGAGUGGAGCCUGCGGCUUAAUUUGACUCAACACGGGGAAACUCACCAGGUCCAGA